UCACACUUGUUAAAGGAAUAAUAAGAAAAGAGUAGUCAAUAUUGUUUAUGGUCAAGGAAUCAAUAAGUUUUCUUAUGAAGAAUUAAUGAGUAUUGAUUAACCAAAUAAAGAUAACAUGUCGUAAUUAUGUUUUGUGUAACUUGGUGCAAGGAAGGGAAGACGUGGUUUUUGGGAGGAAAGUGACCAACUGAUGUUGAGCGGUAUAUCAGAGGAAUUAAGUGGGAGCAAG
rnacentral:lncRNA from 1 species